GCAAAUAUCCUUUGAUCCGGAGAUCUCUGAAUGGGGAAACCCGGCAGAGCACACCUCUGUCAUCCAUACGCCAAUCCAUAACGUAUGGAAGGGAACCCGGGGAACUGAAACAUCUAAGUACCCGGAGGAAGAGAAAGAAACAUCGAUUCCGUAAGUAGCGGCGAGCGAACGCGGAAGAGCCCAAACCGUGAUGCGUGCAUCGCGGGGUUCGGACUGCAGAAGGGAUUCAGCAACGACAGGAGAACGGCUUUGGAACAGCCGGCCAGAGAGGGUGAGAGCCCCGUAUCCAAAGUCAGAGCUGACCUGGCAGGAUCCAGAGUACCACGGGACACGGGAAACCCUGUGGGAAGGAGCGGAGACCACUCCGUAAGGCUAAAUACUACUCAGUGACCGAUAGCGUAUAGUACUGUGAAGGAAAGGUGAAAAGAACCCCGGGAGGGGAGUGAAAGAGAACCUGAAACCCUGUGUCUACAAGCUGUGGAAGUACUUCUUAGGUACGACCGCGUACUUUUUGUAGAACGGUCCGGCGAGCUGCGGGUACUGGCAAGGUUAAGUACUUAAGGUACGGAGCCGUAGGGAAACCAAGUCUUAAUAGGGCGAAUCAGUCAGUACGUGCAGGCCCGAAACCGGGUGACCUAUCCAUGUCCAGGUUGAAGCCGCCGUAAAAGGCGAUGGAGGACCGAACCCACAUCCGUUGAAAAGGGUGGGGAUGAGGUGUGGAUAGCGGAGAAAUUCCAAUCGAACCCGGAGAUAGCUGGUUCUCCUCGAAAUAGCUUUAGGGCUAGCCUCAUACAAGUCUUGCGGAGGUAGAGCACUGAAUUUCCUAGGGGGCGUCAAAGCUUACCGAAGAAUAUCAAACUCCGAAUGCCGUGUAGAUGUUGUAUGGGAGUCAGACUGUACGAGAUAAGUUGGACAGUCAAAAGGGAAAGAGCCCAGACCGCCGGCUAAGGUCCCAAAGUGGGUGUUAAGUGGAAAAGGAUGUGGGAUCUCUAAGACAACCAGGAUGUUGGCUCAGAAGCAGCCAUUCAUUAAAAGAGUGCGUAACAGCUCACUGGUCGAGAGGUCCUGCGCCGAAAAUGUCCGGGGCUGAAACACCACACCGAAGCCGCGGAACUCGUAAGAGUUGGUAGAGGAGCAUUCUUAGGGGAGGGAAGCAUUACCGGAAGGGGAUGUGGACUGCUAAGAAGAGAGAAUGCCGGAAUGAGUAGCGAGAGCAAGGUGGGAAUCCUUGCGGCCGAAUAUCCAAGGUUUCCAGAGUAAAGCUGAUCUGCUCUGGGUAAGUCGGGGCCUAAGGAGAGGCAGAGAUGCGUAUCCGAUGGACAGCAGGUAAAAGAUUCCUGCACCCCUUGUUAUCAGAACUGCGGGGACACGGGAAGGGAAGCAGAGCCGGGAAUGGAAAGCCCGGUGCAAGCGAAGUAGUCGCAGGAUUGGAAAAUCCGUCCUGCAUAAGACGAAGGCGUGAUGCGGAGCGAAACAAAGUAGCGAAGCUGCGGCCCCUUCCUGUCGAGAAAAGCCGCUAUCGUGUAGCAAGGGCCCGUACCGUAAACCGACACAGGUGGAUGAGGAGAGGAUCCUAAGGCCGGCGGGAGAAGUGUUGUUAAGGAACUCGGCAAAAUGACUCCGUAACUUCGGGAGAAGGAGUGCUGCGCAAGCAGCCGCAGAGAAAUGGCCCAAGCAACUGUUUAGCAAAAACACAGGUCUAUGCGAAACCGAAAGGUGAGGUAUAUGGGCUGACGCCUGCCCGGUGCUGGAAGGUUAAGGGGAGAGGUUAGCGCAAGCGAAGCUUUGAACUUAAGCCCCAGUAAACGGCGGCCGUAACUAUAACGGUCCUAAGGUAGCGAAAUUCCUUGUCGGGUAAGUUCCGACCCGCACGAAAGGCGUAAUGAUUUGGGCACUGUCUCAACAACACACCCGGUGAAAUUGAAAUACCAGUGAAGAUGCUGGUUACCCGCGCCAGGACGGAAAGACCCCAUGGAGCUUUACUCCAGCCUGAUACUGGGAUUCGGUAUUGCAUGUACAGGAUAGGUGGGAGGCUAAGAACUUAUGGCGCCAGCCGUAAGGGAGCCAUUGUUGGGAUACCACCCCUGCAGUACUGGGUUUCUAACCUGCGCCCGUGACCCGGGCGGGGGACAAUGUCAGGCGGGGAGUUUGACUGGGGCGGUCGCCUCCGAAAGGGUAUCGGAGGCGCUCAAAGGUUCCCUCAGAAUGGUUGGAAACCAUUCGAAGAGUGCAAAGGCAGAAGGGAGCUUGACUGCGACACCGACGG
rnacentral:rRNA from 1 species